ACGGGAGGCAGCAGUGGGGAAUAUUGCACAAUGGGGGAAACCCUGAUGCAGCGACGCCGCGUGGGUGAUGAAGUAUUUCGGUACGUAAAGCCCUAUCAGCAGGGAAGAUAAUGACGGUACCUGACUAAGAAGCUCCGGCUAAAUACGUGCCAGCAGCCGCGGUAAUACGUAUGGAGCAAGCGUUAUCCGGAUUUACUGGGUGUAAAGGGAGCGCAGGCGGUUUAGUAAGUUGGGUGUGAAAACCCGGGGCUCAACCUCGGGACUGCACCCAAAACUGCCAAACUAGAGUAUCGGAGGGGCAAGCGGAAUUCCUAGUGUAGCGGUGAAAUGCGUAGAUAUUAGGAGGAACACCGGUGGCGAAGGCGGCUUGCUGGACGAUAACUGACGCUGAGGCUCGAAAGCGUGGGGAGCAAACAGGAUUAGAUACCCUGGUA
rnacentral:rRNA from 1 species